rnacentral:misc_RNA from 1 species
AGAAUUGUGUUCUGAGAUUCUUUCAACUGCUGCCUAUUCUUAUCUUCUAGCCUUUGCUUCUCAAACUCCUUCUUUUUCCUCAACCUUCUCUCCUCCUCUGUCUCCACCCUCCCGGUUGGUCCAUUCACCUUCUUCCCCCCAGGUGGAACUGGUGGCUUCUGCAUCUUUUGUUUGGCUACACCACUGUGACUUGAAUGCCCAUGUUGCCUCCUUUCCUCAGGCCCCACUUUAU